UACGUAGGGGGCGAGCGUUGUCCGGAUUCAUUGGGCGUAAAGGGCGCGUAGGCGGCCAGCACAAGUCAGUUGUGAAAUCUCCGGGCUUAACUCGGAAAGGUCAACUGAUACUGUGCGGCUAGAGUGCAGAAGGGGCAACUGGAAUUCUCGGUGUAGCGGUGAAAUGCGUAGAUAUCGAGAGGAACACCUGCGGCGAAGGCGGGUUGCUGGGCUGACACUGACGCUGAUGCGCGAAAGCCAGGGGAGCGAACGGG
rnacentral:rRNA from 1 species